UACAGAGACUGCAAGCGUUAUUCGGAUUCACUGGGCGUAAAGGGUGCGCAGGCGGCCGUGUGUGUGAGGCGUGAAAGCCCGGGGCUCAACCCCGGAAUUGCACUCAAACUACAUGGCAUAGAGCAUUGGAGAGGGUAGCGGAAUUCACGGUGUAGCAGUGAAAUGCGUAGAUAUCGUGAGGAACACCAGAGGCGAAGGCGGCUACCUGGACAAUUGCUGACGCUCAGGCACGAAAGCGUGGGGAGCAAA
rnacentral:rRNA from 1 species